AGACGUCAAAGGUUCACGGUGAAAGCCGUAGGAACAAGUCUUCCGCUUCAACCCUGGGACUGUUGCCAUCUCUAUCAGUGAACAAGCUCUGGAAUGUACCUGAGAAAUGAUAUGCAUGCAGGGAUUAGUUUUUUUUCUUUUUUCUUUUUCCCCUUUUCUUUUUUUUUGUAUCUUUUUUUAUUGCGUAUUUUUUUGAAAAUAAACAUGCUAUGAUGCAAAUGAUGCAGACACGACUGGUUGGCUGUGUCUCUCGGAACACAGGGUCAAAGCUUCGGCUUGAACUCGGAACCACAAAUUCAUCUGAAACCCAAAGUCAUAUGAGACCCCAAACUUCUGAACCAAUAGUCACCAACAGGAUCACAAGUCACCAACAAGUCACCAACGAGUCACCAACUGUACCUGUAAUAAUGAUCAUUCCCUCCCCACUCACGGGUGUCAUCUAGGCCAGGGUAAGGUCGAGAGAAACGCAGCAUAAAUAACCUUUCGCAG
rnacentral:lncRNA from 1 species